AGAGUUUGAUCCUGGCUCAGAACGAACGCUGGCGGCAGGCCUAACACAUGCAAGUCGAACGCCCUAGCAAUAGGGAGUGGCAGACGGGUGAGUAACGCGUGGGAACCUUCCCUAUAGUACGGAAUAUACCAGGGAAACUUGGAGCAAUACCGUAUACGCCCGAAAGGGGAAAGAUUUAUCGCUAUAGGAUGGGCCCGCGUAGGAUUAGCUAGUUGGUGAGGUAAUGGCUCACCAAGGCGACGAUCCUUAGCUGGUCUGAGAGGAUGAUCAGCCACACUGGGACUGAGACACGGCCCAGACUCCUACGGGAGGCAGCAGUGGGGAAUAUUGGGCAAUGGGCGCAAGCCGGACCCAGCCAUGCCGCGUGAGUGACGAAGGCCUUAGGGUUGUAAAGCUCUUUUGGCGGGGACGAUAAUGACGGUACCCGCAGAAUAAGCCCCGGCUAANUUNGNGCCAGCCGCCGCGGUAAUAC
rnacentral:rRNA from 1 species